UCUCGGAACCAACAUUGACGAUGAGGCACGAAAGCGGUGGGUAGCAAACAGGAUUAGAUACACUGGAGUACAAGCUGUAAUCGAUGUUCAGUUAGCAGCCGACGUCAUUAGAGAGGAUUGGGUGGUGCAGCUAAAAGCAUUAAGUGGACCGGUUUGGGGAGUACGGUCGCAAGGUUGAAAAUCAAAGGAAUGGACGGGGGCCGGCGCAAGCGGUGGAGCAUGUGGUUUGAUUCGGAUGCAACGCGGAAGAACCUUACCUGGUCUUGACAUGUAGUGAACUUAGCAGAAAUGUUUUGGUGCCUUCGGGAACACUAACACAGGUGCUGCACGGCUGUCGUCAGCUCGUGUCGUGAGAUGUUGGGUUAAGUCCCGCAACGAGCGCAACCCCUGUCCCUAGUUGCCAGCACGUAAUGGUGGGAGAUCUAGGGAGACUGCCGGUGAUAAACCGGAGGAAGGUGGGGAUGACGUCAAGUCAUCAUGGCCGUUAUGACCAGGGCUACACGCGUGCUACAAUGGGCAGUACAGAGGGAAGCAAAAUCGCGAGAUCAAGCAAAUCCCAGAAAGCUGUCCGUAGUCCGGAUCGGAGUCUGCAACUCGACUCCGUGAAGUCGGAAUCGCUAGUAAUCGCGAAUCAGCAUGUCGCGGUGAAUACGUUCCCGGGCCUUGUACACACCGCCCGUCACACCAUGGGAGUUUGUUGCACCAGAAGCAGGUAGUCUAACCGAAAGGAGGGCGCUUGCCACGGUGUGGCCGAUGACUGGGGUGAAGUCGUAACAAGGUAGCC
rnacentral:rRNA from 1 species